ACACUGUUCAGGCUCCAGAGAAUUACUUCUCAUUCCUUGCCCUGUGUUCUUUAAAUAAAAAAGGUGACUCCAUCCAAAGGCCAUGAAGUCUUACAGCUCUACUACUGCUACUUACAUCAGAAACAAGCACUACUUUGGAGUGUGGGAAAAGAUUUGAGCGGCAGAAGCUCUUAGGGCCAUAUAGCAAAUGGAUUUUAGUUUUUAAAGGAAAUUUCAGAUUUUGGUCUAGGCUAUCCAUUCAACUCACCGGAAAAGCGAUGGAGACAAGGACUCAAGGUUGUACUACUGGCCAGGAAUGAAGUCAGUGCACUUGGCUGCUGCAUUCCCUGAGGUGUGUCUCUUGGAAUUUGGUGUUUUCUUCAAGCUCCUGGAUCUGCCUCUCUCCAGCAUCUGCCUGCUGUCCCAUAUAUACUAAAAUAUAGACAAAAUUAAACAUGCUUACAGAAAUCUUCUUCAUUUCUAUGGCGGUGAUGCUGAUGGAAGUCUUGAGGAGGCCCAGGAACUGCUGGGUUGCUCUUCCUAAGUAUUCACAGAAGGAGUGAAGGUGACUACUGCAUUCAGAGGCAGUUAAUUUCCUAAGUGCAAGGCUUUAUUCAUUUUGAAGAGAACUUGGAUUGGCUGGUGUUCCAGAAACUGCAACAAAGAAACUCAGACAAAUAAGACAUGAGAAAAAUUCAAGCAACUCCUCUCCGUGCUUCAUAAAUGAUCAGCAGAACUCCACCUAACCACAGACCAGGUGUUUCCGGCUCACAUUUUUCUGCCUGACAGACCCCUGCAGAGGAUCUGUCUCUGGUCACGACCAGGACCUAGUGACUGAAAGCAGAAGAACUUCGCCUAUUCCUAAGCGUGGGCAAGACACUGGAAAAAAUGUGUAUCAAUCAUCAAGAGUCGAAAACGCAGCUUCAACAGUAUGUAACUGAAAGCACUCCUGGCUGCUAUCAAGAGUAAGAAAUACCGUCUUGAGACAGAUGUCUGUUUCCUCUGCCAGGCUGGUGUGGAAGCCGACCCAUGUUUCCUCCCCCAUCUGAAUGGUGGGGAAGCAGCAAGGAGGCAUCAAGCAUUCUGCCUAAAACAUUUUUUCUCACCGCAUUGCUCUUGCCACAUCCAGUGUCUUUAAAACUAACAACAAAAUGGCUCUGAAAGUAGAUGGCAUUCAUGUGAGCUAGCUUGCUUGACCUGUAGAGUUUCCUGCAGUCUGAGUUUUGCUGAUUGGAUUCCUGAGUUAAAGUUUAUCACAUUCCUAAUAUUUCCAUAUAAAUUAAUAAGUAUUGAUUUUAAGAUGGCAAUAUUUACACAUUGAAAUCAAGGUGCAUCUUACCAUCAAAGGCAUUGUAUAAUUUCUCAGGUGACAGUUAUGAUACUGUUGUCAUUGCUUCAGCAUGAGCAAACUCGUCUUGAUUAUAUUGUUAUCGCUUCAGUUGAAUUAUGUGCAUUGUUCUUAUUACAUGUGUUGAGUUUAAUUGCUGUUUAAAUUUUUUUUCAAGAAGAUUACAUUUUGAUUUUGCAUUGAAAGAAAAAGUCACUGCAAGUUCAGGAAAACACAGAAACAGAACAGAGGGGAUUAAAUUUGAUUCAUUCAUGACUGGGCCACCAAAAUCCCUUGAUGUUUCAGGCUGCAAACCAAAUAAGGACAUUUGAAGAAGGAAUGGAAGUCCUGAUGUUGUCCGAAAUGGAUCAAGGAAGCACCAACAUCAGCAUUUGCCAACAGAGCAUCAGUCCCUUGGAAUAAAAUUCCAUAGUCAGUAGCGGAGCCCUCUUUCAAGUUCUAGUCAAGAGAUAUAUUAUCCUUCAAUAAAAUAGUGUGGAAAAACACAGAGAUCAAUGGCUUUGAAUAUAAAAGUGAUUCCUGUUGGAUUAUUAUUUUUUUUCCAGAAUAUUCUGUUGGCUUCAGGAAAUACUAAGUGAAAACAAAACUGACAAAAUUACAUCACUAGCAUUAAUCUAAUUAAGGCACAG